UUGCAGAUGUUUCGCUUAAAAAUGCAUCGCGUCAAGAAGAAUGCAGCAAGAAAAGAGGAGCUUUUAGUGCAUUAUCUGUGAUACCAAUUACCUUUUCAAUGUUGUUUUCACCAGGGUGACUGCAGAUGAAUGGUACAAUGUGUGCUCUUUUUCUCAGCCCUGUCAAAACAAGGAGCUGCAAUCUCACCACAAGAGGGGGCUUCAUCCACACCUUUUAUCUCACUGGGAUUAGGCCUUGCCUGGCAGCAUGGAGAGUCACUGCCGUUCUGCCCACUUUCUUGCAAUCGGGAGCUGCUGUCCAUCUCUCACAGCAUCCCCAGACGGGAAAGGGAACCGCCCAGACUGCUGGUGCCAGGGUGAUAUCAUCUGAUAAUCAACCUCAAACAUGGGCUCCGAGCCACACAGUGCAUUUUCAUAUAGUGAAAGGUCUUCAUCCUUCACUCUCGCUUUUAUAUCGAGGGUUUUUUUCUGCAAAUAUUGAUCCCGGAGAUUGAGUGAAAUUGGUGUGUCAUAUAAAAAGGGAACUUGUUAGCGCUAUAUAUAUCUGAAUGGGUGCCAAGUAAAGGCUUAUUAACUAGAAUCCCUGUUUCUUUAACCGUAAACCAGAAUGUUAUUAAUUUAAUUUAAUUAUUUAUUUAUUUUUAAUUGAGGCAGCCCAUUAGUUGUAGCAUGUAUUAUGAAUAUCAGCUGUCAUUCUACAUGUGCUUGAGCGCUCUCAAGUACAUGUAGAAUGAUAUGAGGAGCACUGGCAUCGCUCCAGAGCUCCUCUAGACAGCAAACAUCAACAUGAGAGACAAGCUGGACUUGUACUUAAUCAUUUCAAUUAUCAUAAUAAUUAUUUAAAGUGUUGUAACUUAAAAAUUGGCUUUUUGUGAAUGAUUGUUACUAUCUAUGUCGGUGUGAAAAGGUAAAACCCCACAAAAGUAGACAUCAUAACUUUUAGAAGCCAUUGAUGGUACAUGGUGCUAUAAAUGAAAGUGAAAAAAAAAACUGUCUCAUUUGUCAAAGUUUGCUUCAUAAAUGAAAAAGUGGCUGAGUUGUACAGAGCCGCCUACUUUCCACAGCCAUUCAUCGCUAAAAGUGUGACUGAGGGGGCCAUGUGCUCUGUCCCCCACCCCCAGUUCUCACUGCCACUCAGCCCAUAUGUGCAUUCGAGUGGCAGCUGCAAACUCCUUCCUCCCUUCUCACUUGCCCUCUGAUAAAAAAAAAAGAAAGAAAGAAAGUGAAAAACAGCUCUGCGUGCACAUAGGAGAGCUUCUCUGGUCAGCAUGUGUCUGACAGCUACUGUGAGCAUCAGGAAGACACACAAAGCUCGAGAAAAGGCCUUUUCCUAUCCAAAAACAACAAACCUAUUAUUUACAAGGCC
rnacentral:lncRNA from 1 species